rnacentral:misc_RNA from 1 species
GUGAAUCAUCAAAUCUUUGAACGCAAAUUGCAAUCUCUGGUAUUCCGGAGAGUAUGUCUGUUUGAGGGUCAGAUAAAAUAAAAAUCGGUGUGGUUGCUGCCUUUCGUGGUGACGCAUCGGAUGUGGAUCGACUUUCUUUCGUUUAAGUGACUUAAAAUUUUGCAUGUUUUUUCAGAAAGUUUUUAAAUGAUUUUACGUUCGUUUGUUAUAUCGAAUACUAGUUGCUAUA